ACUAUAUGUUCAACGGCCGCGGUAUUCUGACCGUGCGAAGGUAGCGCAAUCACUUGUCUCUUAAAUGGAGACCUGUAUGAAAGGCAUCACGAGGGCUUAGCUGUCUCCCCUUCAAGGUCAAUGAAAUUGAUCUCCCCGUGCAGAAGCGGGGAUACGCCCGUAAGACGAGAAGACCCUAUGGAGCUUGAGACAUAAGACGACCCACGUCACUAACCCCUCUAAAAGGAAAUGAACAAAAUGGACUUCGCCGAAAUGUCUUCGGUUGGGGCGACCGCGGGGAAAGACCAAACCCCCACGUGGACCAAGGCCACAAUAGCCUUAAAACCCAGACCCCCUGGUCGAAUCAACAGUAUUUCUGACCACCAAAGAGCCGGCAAUGCCGAUCAACGGACCGAGUUACCCUAGGGAUAACAGCGCAAUCCCCUCCCAGAGCCCUUAUCGACGAGGGGGUUUACGACCUCGAUGUUGGAUCAGGACAUCCUAAUGGUGCAGCCGCUAUUAAGGGUUCGUUUGUUCAACGAUUAAAGUCCUACGUGAU
rnacentral:rRNA from 1 species